CUUGGUCAUUUAGAGGAGUAAAAGUCGUAACAAGGUUUCCGUAGGUGAACCUGCGGAAGGAUCAUUAGAGGGGCGCAUUACGCGCAGUCUAUUGUCUCGAAAGAGAUGGUAGACGACCAUACGAGGAAGGUACGAUUGAGGAUUAACAAAACCCAUGAACAACGGAUCUCUAGGCUCCUGCAUCGAUGAAGAACGCAGCGAAACGCGAUAGAUAAUGUGAAUUGCAGAAUUACGUGAAUCAUCGAGUCUUUGAACGCACAUUGCGCCCUUUGGUAUUCCGAGGGGCAUGCCUGUCUGAGCGUCAGUGAACUUCACAGGGAUUUGUUUGUAUUUGCUUGCAUGUCAAACAAGUUCUAGUGAUUGAGUGUGACUUGUCUCACUUGAAAUGCAUCACGAUUGGUGUCAUAGGUUCGCCUCACCAAGAAUUAACGUCUUGACCUCAGAUCAGGUAGGGUUACCCGCUGAACUUAA
rnacentral:rRNA from 1 species